rnacentral:rRNA from 2 species
GAUGAACGCUGGCGGCGCGCCUAACACAUGCAAGUCGAACGGUUAAAGCAUCUUCGGAUGUGUAUAAAGUGGCGAACGGCUGAGUAACACGUGGGCAACCUGCCCUUUGCACUGGGAUAGCCUCGGGAAACCGAGGUUAAUACCGGAUACUCCAUAUUUGUCGCAUGGCGAAUAUGGGAAAGCUCCGGCGGCAAGGAUGGGCCCGCGGCCUGUUAGCUAGUUGGUGGGGUAGUGGCCUACCAAGGCAAUGAUGGGUAGCCGGGUUGAGAGACCGACCGGCCAGAUUGGGACUGAGACACGGCCCAGACUCCUACGGGAGGCAGCAGUGGGGAAUCUUGCACAAUGGGCGAAGCCUGAUGCAGCGACGCCGCGUGCGGAUGAAGCCUCCGGGUGUAACCGCUUUCAGCAGGGACGAGGCCGCAAGGUGACGGUACCUGCAGAAGAAGCCCCGGCUAACUACGUGCACAGCGCGUAUCCGCGGUAAUACGUAGGGGGCAAGCGUUAUCCGGAUUCAUUGGGCGUAAAGCGCGCGUAGGCGGUCUGUUAGGUCAGGAGUUAAAUCUGGGGGCUCAACCCCUAUCCGCUCCUGAUACCGGCAGGCUUGAGUCUGGUAGGGGAAGAUGGAAUUCCAAGUGUAGCGGUGAAAUGCGCAGAUAUUUGGAAGAACACCGGUGGCGAAGGCGGUCUUCUGGGCCAUGACUGACGCUGAGGCGCGAAAGCUAGGGGAGCGAACAGGAUUAGAUACCCUGGUAGUCCUAGCUGUAAACGAUGGACACUAGGUGUGGGGAGAUUAUACUUUCCGUCCGCAGCUAACGCAUUAAGUGUCAGCCUGGGAGUACGGUCGCAAGACUA